AUAGAGUUAGGGCUGAGCUGGGUUUUCUUGUUGCUAUUUUAAAAGGUGUCUAGUGUGAGGUGCAGGUGGUGGAGUGUAGGGGAGAG